GAGGAGCAAGAACAGAGCGGAACUGUAGGAAGCUUCAAGUAUACUGAUAAAUCUGAUGUAUAUAGCUUCGGUAUGGUUUGCUUUGAGCUUUUGACUGGUAAAGUGCCAUUCGAAGAUAGCCACCUGCAAGGAGAUAAGAUGAGUAGAAACAUUAGGGCAGGGGAGAGACCGCUUUUUCCAUUUCAUUCACCUAGAUUGAUAACAAACCUGACGAAACGAUGUUGGCAUGCUGAUCCGAAUCAGCGUCCCACUUUCUCAUCGAUAAGCAGAAUUCUCCGGUACAUCAAACGGUUUCUAGCUUUGAACCAAGAAUGCCAUAGUAGUAGCCAACAAGACCCGCCCA
rnacentral:lncRNA from 1 species